rnacentral:lncRNA from 1 species
GAAAAUUAAAUGGAAAUACUAUAAAGAAAUUGAAUCAUGUCUCCAAUAGGUUACAUCAAACCCUAGAUUUAAUAACUUAGUUCAUGAUUGACAAGAACAUGAUAAAAUACAAAUUAAAUUGCAUGAAGAAGAGAAAGAUAAGAAAAAACUCAGGUUGCUGCUCUAUUUCUCAAUCUUAUGGCUUGAUUUCUCAGUUUCUCCCUUCUUCUUCUCCAAAAUCGGGUCGAUCUUCUCUCAAUUGGUGCCUCUCUUUUUCUUGCCUCUUCAGCCGUCUAACCCCGUUCUCUUGUUCUUCAGCUGGGUAUUUAUAUUUUCUAAGGGUCCUCAAGGGUUAGGGUAUAAUUUUUUUGGGCCGAAAAAAUACUUAAAAACUCGGGUUUUAACGUUUUGGGAACAGGCGCCAUGGCGCCUAGGUCUGGCGCCACGUCUCUGCUCGCUUUUUCUUCAUUGGGCGCCAUGGUGCCCAAGUCUGGCGCCGUGGCACCCAAGGUUCUGCUUCUUUUUUUCUUCAUUGGGCACCAUGGCGCCUAGGUCUGGCGCCCAGGUAUGUGUUGGAAUUGUAUCCAUGGCGCUCCUUUUUCGACGCCGUGGUGCCAAUGCCACUGCUUUGCUUCUCUUCUCUUUGUUUUUCCAAGCCUAUUUUUCACUCCAAUCUUAUUCAAUACUUGCUUAUUCAUGCUCCAUUUCAUUGAUCAUUAUUUUUUGCUCAUCACCGGCUCCUAAUAGUGGUAUUUUCUCGAGAGUUGUCCAAACUGCAAAACAACACUAACACACACAUCAAAACGUUCAAAAAUGCUCAAGAACACAUCAAAAAACUUGAUUUAGAAGCUUUAGUUUAAUGAGUGAAUUACACUCAUCAAACACCCCCAAACUUAGUUCUUUGCUUGUCCUCGAGCAAAUACAAAACUAAAGAUAAUUAUUAACGAGCACAAAAACACGACUAAGACAGACAAAGUCACUCAAAAGAAACUUUAUGUUAGACACCUUGCAUUUAUUACUCAAGAUCAAGAACACAGCGUCAAAUUCAUGAAGUACUUCAAAACUAUAAUGCAGGCGUCAAAUCCUCGCUCAUUCAAUGCAAAUGGGUGUGUGUGUGGAGAGUUAAGUAUAACGCUGUACAAUAAUAAGUUGAUCCAAUUCCCGACCUUAGAAGUCAAAUUUUUCCUUACUUCGCUCGUGGGAUUCACACACCCGCAAGCUUAUUUUCUUUUCUCUUUCCAAGGGUAUAACCUAAGGUUAAAUUUUCAAUACUAAUUUCUUACACCACUCAAGUUUGGUUAGAUUUUACUGAUUGUAGUUCCACAUGUCAACAAAUGAGGAUUCUCCUUAUUUUCUAUUGUUUCAACCUCUAGGAAUCAACCAAAUUACUAACCUCUUAUCAAAGGUCUAAUCCUCUAAAACAGGUAUUCAGGGCUUAAUCAAGGCAUUUGAUAUCUAUUUUUUUCUCUCUCUCUCUUUUUUUAUAUAUAUAUAAAUGUAUUCUUUAAACACCCUUUGUGUGGACGUCACUCCCUCAAGCUUUCUAAAUGACCCUUGUAACGAGCUUUAGGCCGAUGACUCCCAAAUCAGACAAGUUUAGGGCACCAGGUUUUAAACCCUUACAGGCUUAAUUAUUCGAGUCAUAAAGGCUACGAAGAGAGGAUUCACAAUGAGAUUAUUAAAGUUGUCCUCAUUGGGAUCUUUUUUAUGCAAUGAUUAGUGCAAUACCCCUUAAAUAACACCUAUUCUCGAAAAUCGACCUCUAACUUAAAGUUUUCACCCAAUUUUCAUCAUAUUAGUCUCAGACAAUUCACACAAAAUUUAGCACACAUGGAAUCCACAUUUAUCUCCAAGUUUUCCUGCAACAGCUUAACCUACCAAACAGCCUAUAUUUGAUUUAAGAGUAUAAUAGUGUUUAAAAGUAGUUUGGGUUUAGCAUCUAAGUUUUCUUAUUCAACCUGUAAAUAUAGAUCAACCUACUCAUGUACAACGCUACAAUCAACCCACGUACAAAAAUAAUUUCCGUUUCACACGAAUAAGCAAAAAUCUAACUCACACAUGUAACUUAUCCAUAAUCCAUGAACCAAUACAUGUUCUUAAUAUUAUACAUCAUUGUCAGCAAGACUAUCUAACUCACACAAGCAUGCAA